rnacentral:rRNA from 1 species
GAUGAACGCUGGCGGCGUGCUUAACACAUGCAAGUCGAACGAAGCACUUUAACCUGAUUCUUCGGAUGAAGGUUUUUGUGCCUGAGUGGCGGACGGGUGAGUAACGCGUGGGUAACCUGCCUCAUACAGGGGGAUAACAGUUAGAAAUGACUGUUAAUACCGCAUAAGACCACAGAGCCGCAUGGCUCGGUGGGAAAAACUCCGGUGGUAUGAGAUGGACCCGAGUCUGAUUAGGUAGUUGGUGGGGUAACGGCCUACCAAGCCAAGGAUCAGUAGCCGACCUGAGAGGGUGACCGGCCACAUUGGGACUGAGACACGGCCCAAACUCCUACGGGAGGCAGCAGUGGGGAAUAUUGCACAAUGGGGGAAACCCUGAUGCAGCGACGCCGCGUGAGCGAAGAAGUAUUUCGGUAUGUAAAGCUCUAUCAGCAGGGAAGAAAAUGACGGUACCUGACUAAGAAGCACCGGCUAAAUACGUG